UAGGAGAUAGGAUCAUUGGAAGAGGAACUAUCCUUAAUACAUUACUUCUCUUGAUCUGAAUAGAUCGAAGAAGAAGAAGCAAUCAGUUGUUAUGCAAGAUAAUUAUAUAUAACUCCUUGCAACUUCUCAAUUUGUGAUAUAAUGACUGAGUAUUAGAUACUGAAAGUCCUAUUAAUAUUUAUAAUUCAUUGCAGAGACUUCAGAUCAGUAGAAUAUUUAUAGAUGAUGAGAGAUUCUUAAAUGUUGAAAAUGGAAGAUCAGUUCUAGUUCUAGCUUUAGGAAUCA
rnacentral:lncRNA from 1 species